rnacentral:rRNA from 1 species
CAGUCGCCACGGUAAUACGUAGGGUGCAAGCGUUAAUCGGAAUUAUUGGGCGUAAGGCGCGCGCAGGUGGUUUAAUAAGUCUGAUGUGAAAGCCCACGGCUCAACCGUGGAGGGUCAUUGGAAACUGUUAAACUUGAGUGCAGGAGAGAAAAGUGGAAUUCCUAGUGAAGCGGUGAAAUGCGUAGAGAUUAGGAGGAACACCAGUGGCGAAGGCGGCUUUUUGGCCUGUAACUGACACUGAGGCGCGAAAGCGUGGGGAGCAAACAGGAUUAGAUACCCGUGUAGUCCCUGUCUCUUAUAC